rnacentral:lncRNA from 1 species
UAAAUCUAUGGGUUGGUUUAGCUCCAGGGUAUAUGUAUGGUGUUUGUUCCAAGGUAUGUGUUGUUUUAUUUGAACCUGUAAAAACAACACAGUCUUGCAAUGGGAAGCCUUGGUGAAAGGACCUGUGAAAUUUGACUGAUUUUGGGACUUAGUGUCUAGGGUGGUUGAUGACGAGCUAGAAAUGGUUGUGAUCGAAAAUACUGAAGAAGCUAGAGUGCUCCCUAUGGAUACCCUAGACCAUAAAAUGUAGCCAUCAUCUUUCACUCUCACCCUCCCCAUCUUACUACACCACUCACCAUGGCUUUCACCACCACCACCACAACAUAAAACAUCCUG